UAAGGAAUAUUGGUCAAUGGACGCAAGUCUGAACCAGCCAUGCCGCGUGAAGGAUGAAGGUCCUCUGGAUUGUAAACUUCUUUUAUCUGGGACGAAAACGGGAUUUUUAUCUCAAUUGACGGUACCAGAGGGAUAAGCACCGGCUAACUCCGUGCCAGCAGCCGCGGUAAUACGGAGGGUGCGAGCGUUAUCCGGAUUUACUGGGUUUAAAGGGUGCGUAGGUGGGCUUAUAAGUCAGUGGUGAAAUCUCCGAGCUUAACUUGGAAACUGCCGUUGAUACUAUAGGUCUUGAAUUAUCUGGAGGUAAGCGGAAUAUGUCAUGUAGCGGUGAAAUGCUUAGAUAUGACAUAGAACACCAAUUGCGAAGGCAGCUUACUACAUAUAAAUUGACGCUGAGGCACGAAAGCGUGGGGAUCAAACA
rnacentral:rRNA from 1 species